rnacentral:rRNA from 1 species
GGUAAUCUACCUUCCGGGUGGGGGAAGUAACCCAGGGAAACUUGGGCUAACACCGCAUAAUGCAGCGGCACCACAUGGUGACAGUUGUUAAAGCGGGGGAUUUUAGGACCUCGCGCCUGAAGAGGAGCCUGCGGCGGAUUAGCUAGUUGGUGAGGUAACGGCUCACCAAGGUGACGAUCCGUAGCCGGCCUGAGAGGGCGGUCGGCCACACUGACACUGACAUACGGGUCAG